GAGAUUUUUGCUGGAGAUUCCUGCAUGCCUGAAGUCUCUAAUGAUUCUUUAACAAUGUAAAGGAGGUAUCUUUCAUCUGAUUCCUAAGUGAAUAAGAAACUUGAAGGAAACAGGAGGGUAGCAACAAGGCAUCUUCUUGAAUCUCUCAUUUUCCUGAACAAGUGCAAUGAUGAGAGAUCUUGUUGGACACAGAAGAGAAGAGAGACAAUAUUUGUCUGGAUCCAUAAUAAAUCCACGCACAAAAUACUACUGUUGACAAAGAUUUCUUCUACUAUGAAACUAAGUAUAUUUGCACAACAACUUAAAAGCAGGAAAUCUCCCAGAGGAGAGAGGCAACCUGGCACAACUGGUGGCUGUUGAAGAAAAAAACUAUGGAUUAUGGAACAAUACUUCAUCUGUGAUUUGAUAUUUUCUGUUCUGCCUAUUGCCUUAGCUGAAUUUUGCCAUGCUUUUCCUGAGUCUGUGGGACUCGGAAGGAGCAUGGAAUGGUUGAUUCACCUGCUGAGCAGAGGUGAUGCUCUAGAGCCAAGGUGUGCUGCUGAGAUAAAAUCAAACACUUGUAGAAUGGCAGAUUGCCUGCUGCUCUGGUCCAGCAGGGAUUUCCUGCAUAGGAUGUAAGAGGAACUGAGGAACUGAAUCCUGAGUGUGGUAAUGGAGGUCCUAGAAAAGGGGGUGAUGAUGGCAGAUGGCAGUUUUUUUUAG
ensembl:lncRNA